CUCGUUUUAAGUGCUCAUCUUACAAAUUAUGUGCAAACCUUUUAGAACAUAAGACUGAUUUGCAUAAUUUAUGAGUGCAACAGCUAUCACCAUUAAACUAUUAUCCAUCGCACAUACAUUUUAAAAUAAAGCAUAAUAUACAUACUAAACAACAAGUGGCAGGAAGAAAACAAAAACUUCUUCGGUUUUCAUAGCCGGGAGCUCGCGGGAACCUAAAAAUAACUUUAAAGGCCCUGAAAGCUAUACAGAUCUGAGAUAUCACUGGAAGGUACAGAACUGCGAUGCGGAUCGUAGUCCCAGAUGUUUCGAAAAUGGCAGCUCUUGGUAGAAACUUCGCAGAUGAAGAUCGGGGAUAAGGAAGCUGAUGCGCCGGCUAUACUUCUAGCCUUGUCCUUGGCGAGGUCUUCGGGAUGGAAAGAAUUUCCCGAGGAAUUUCCAUCGAAUGGCCCAGAAUUAAGUUAUGCCCCAAUGGUCAGCAGCCAAAAAAAAACAAAUCAUUGAGAAACUAAGAUGUUCUACAUAUCAUGAAAUAAAUAUGAUAACCUUUAGGCUACAGUUGUAUCACAUGAUGGAGAGUCACUUGAUGUUAUCCAAUUUUGGGUAAUCUAUAUGGCAUUGUACUCCAAAAUACACUCCAUCAAGUGAUAAAGCUUGUAUACUAUAGAAUGACUAAGCUAUGAAAGUACAUAUUUUCAAUUGCAUAUUCGGAUAUAAUUAUUAUUAAUGCAAUCAUAAAUCUGAAUCAGAUUGAUAAACUUUUGAAAAAUAUGUGUAAUACUAAUGCACAUUUCAUAUUGCAAGCGUUUUAUAUUUCAAGUGCGGGAUUAUUGAAAAAUCCAAUACAUUUGCACAUAAAUUUUAUGAUAAUCGAAUCGACAGAAAUCUAUUAGCAGCGCACAUAUUUUAGAAAUGCGAAAGCAACUGAUCAUAUUCUAUGUGCACUGCAAUUACGUAUAAUGUGUACUUUUUUC